rnacentral:lncRNA from 1 species
AAAACAGUAGCGCAUUUGGUAAGUGGUCGAUCUGAGAACAAUGAGACGGGUGCACGCGUGCACAUGAAGAGUCCAUUUUACUUUCUCAGUAUUUGAACGAAAACAACGACUCCCGGUCGGAAUAUUAUCGCUAUUUUACAAGAAAAAUUGCAUAAAAAUUGAUUUUAAACAGCGUUUGACAUGCUUCGAAGUACGGUAAUGGAAUAUUUUGAAUUUUUUUGUCACGAAACACCCUUCGUUACCCUUCGGAUAGUGUCUUGAAUGCACGAACAAAACGCCGCUAUUUGGAUAUAACUAUGGAUUAUUUGGAACCAAACCAACAUUUGUUGUUUACGUAGAAGUCCUGGGAGUGCAUUCUGACGAAGAACAGCAAAGGUGUCAUGGCACGAGAUUUCUUUGAGGAAGAAAUCAUCAAGAGAUAUACUGGACCCUAUAUCAGAGAAGUGUUUCUGGGAUGACAUUGUUUUUUUCAAGACAAUGACCCAAAACACACUGCCGCCCGAGAAGCAUUAGCUGUAUAGCCGAGUGAUCAUUGGGUCAAAAGAGCAGCAAUAGAUGAGUCAGGGUGCCGUUCACUAGUCACUUGUCAGACUGCAAAGUAG